GGGGACUCCGAGUGUGAAGGCAUAGAGCCUUCACUUUUGUACACCGUAAGGUGGUGUACGAAUAAGGGCUGGGCAAGACCGGUGCCAGCCGCCGCGGUAAUACCGGCAGCCCGAGUGAUGGCCGAUAUUAUUGGGCCUAAAGCGUCCGUAGCUGGCCGGACAAGUCCGUUGGGAAAUCUGUUCGCUUAACGAGCAGGCGUCCAGCGGAAACUGUUCGGCUUGGGACCGGAAGACCUGAGGGGUACGUCCGGGGUAGGAGUGAAAUCCUGUAAUCCUGGACGGACCACCGGUGGCGAAAGCGCCUCAGGAGGACGGAUCCGACAGUGAGGGACGAAAGCUAGGGUCUCGAACCGGAUUAGAUACCCGGGUAGUCCUAGCUGUAAACGAUGCCCGCUAGGUGGUGGCGCAGGCUACGAGCCUGCGCUGUGCCGUAGGGAAGCCGAGAAGCGGGCCGCCUGGGAAGUACGUCUGCAAGGAUGAAACUUAAAGGAAUUGGCGGGGGAGCACUACAACCGGAGGAGCCUGCGGUUUAAUUGGACUCAACGCCGGACAUCUCACCAGCUCCUACAGUAGUAAUGACGGUCAGGUUGAUGACCUUACCCGAUGCUACUGAGAA
rnacentral:rRNA from 1 species